rnacentral:rRNA from 1 species
AUUGAACGCUGGCGGCAGGCCUAACACAUGCAAGUCGAGCGAGCGGCGGACGGGUGAGCAAUGUAUUGGCAUCUGCCUGAUAGAGGGGGAUAACUACUGGAAACGGUGGCUAAUACCGCAUACUAUCGGAUGGAACCAUGUGGGAUUAGCUAGUAGGUGGGGUAAAGGUUUACCUAGGCGACGAUCUCUAGCUGGUCUGAGAGGAUGAUCAGCCACACUGGAACUGAGACACGGCCCAGACUCCUACGGGAGGCAGCAGUGGGGAAUAUUGGGCAAUGGGCGAAAGCCUGAUGCAGCCAUGCCGCGUGUAUGAAGAAGGUCUUCGGGUUGUAAAAUACUUUCAUUGGGGAGGCGUUACCCACAGAAAAAGCACCGGCUAACUCCGUGCCAGCCGCCGCGGUAAUUC